rnacentral:rRNA from 1 species
UACGUAGGGUGCGAGCGUUGUCCGGAUUUAUUGGGCGUAAAGAGCUCGUAGGCGGUUUGUCGCGUCGGCCGUGAAAUCUCCACGCUUAACGUGGAGCGUGCGGUCGAUACGGGCAGACUUGAGUUCGGUAGGGGAGACUGGAAUUCCUGGUGUAGCGGUGAAAUGCGCAGAUAUCAGGAGGAACACCGGUGGCGAAGGCGGGUCUCUGGGCCGAUACUGACGCUGAGGAGCGAAAGCCGUGGGGAGCGAACAGG